rnacentral:rRNA from 1 species
AAGUCGAGCGAGCGAGAGAGAGCUUGCUUUCUCGAGCGAGUGGCGAACGGGUGAGUAACGCGUGAGGAACCUGCCUCAAAGAGGGGGACAACAGUUGGAAACGACUGCUAAUACCGCAUAAGCCCACAGGUCGGCAUCGACCAGGGGGAAAAGGAGCAAUCCGCUUUGAGAUGGCCUCGCGUCCGAUUAGCUAGUUGGUGAGGUAAUGGCCCACCAAGGCAACGAUCGGUAGCCGGACUGAGAGGUUGAACGGCCACAUUGGGACUGAGACACGGCCCAGACUCCUACGGGAGGCAGCAGUGGGGAAUAUUGCACAAGGGGGGAAACCCUGAUGCAGCGACGCCGCGUGGAGGAAGAAGGUCUUCGGAUUGUAAACUCCUGUUGUUGAGGAAGAUAAUGACGGUACUCAACAAGGAAGUGACGGCUAACUACGUGCCAGCAGCCGCGGUAAAACGUAGGUCACAAGCGUUGUCCGGAAUUACUGGGUGUAAAGGGAGCGCAGGCGGGAAGACAAGUUGGAAGUGAAAUCUAUGGGCUCAACCCAUAAACUGCUUUCAAAACUGUUUUUCUUGAGUAGUGCAGAGGUAGGCGGAAUUCCCGGUGUAGCGGUGGAAUGCGUAGAUAUCGGGAGGAACACCAGUGGCGAAGGCGGCCUACUGGGCAC